rnacentral:rRNA from 1 species
GGGGAAUCUUGCACAAUGGGCGAAAGCCUGAUGCAGCGACGCCGCGUGCGGGAAGGAGGCCCUCGGGUCGUAAACCGCUUUCAGCAGGGACGAGGCCGCGAGGUGACGGUACCUGCAGAAGAAGCCCCGGCUAACUACGUGCCAGCAGCCGCGGUAAUACGUAGGGGGCGAGCGUUAUCCGGAUUCAUUGGGCGUAAAGCGCGCGUAGGCGGCCAGCUAGGUCGGGAGUCAAAUCCGGGGGCUCAACCCCCGCCCGCUCCCGAUACCGGCCGGCUUGAGUCUGGCAGGGGAAGGCGGAAUUCCCGGUGUAGCGGUGGAAUGCGCAGAUAUCGGGAAGAACACCGGUGGCGAAGGCGGCCUUCUGGGCCACGACUGACGCUGAGGCGCGAAAGCUGGGGGAGCGAACA